rnacentral:rRNA from 1 species
CCUACGGGAGGUAGCAGUGGGGAAUCUUGCACAAUGGAGGAAACUCUGAUGCAGCGAUGCCGCGUGAGUGAAGAAGGCCUUUGGGUUGUAAAGCUCUUUUGUAGGGGAAGAUAAUGACUGUACCCUAAGAAUAAGGUCCGGCUAACUUCGUGCCAGCAGCCGCGGUAAUACGAAGGGACCUAGCGUAGUUCGGAAUUACUGGGCGUAAAGCGCGCGUAGGCCGUUGAGUUAGUUAAUUGUGAAAUCCCAAAGCUUAACUUUGGAACUGCAAUUAAAACUGCUCGACUAGAGUUUGAUAGAGGAAAGCGGAAUACAUAGUGUAGAGGUGAAAUUCGUAGAUAUUAUGUAGAACACCAGUUGCGAAGGCGGCUUUCUGGAUCAACACUGACGCUGAGGCGCGAAAGUAUGGGUAGCAAAGAGGAUUAGAUACCCUCGUAGUCCAUACCAUAAACGAUGAUUGCUAGAUGUUGGAAAUUUAUUUUCAGUAUCGCAGCUAACGCAUUAAGCAAUCCGCCUGGGGAGUACGACCGCAAGGUUAAAACUCAAAUGAAUUGACGG